UCGUUCCACUCGUGGAUCUCUGCUCUGAGAGCGUGAGGGUUCUCGGCGACGAGCUCCCACAGCGGGAAGUUCUUCCUCGGCAUCACAAAAUCCUGCGCGCCGAGCCGGAGCGAAGGACAGUAAUCCCCCUUCCCGUCUCCCAGAUCCUGCAGCCUACAGAUCGACAAUGGCGGAAAGCUUGCGAAUAGUAGGAAGAACAUGAAUCACCUUGCACAUGUUGGGAGGGCAGAGACUGCAGCCAUGGGAAGAGCUACUGAAGUCGUGAUAAGGGAAGAUUCUCAGCCUCCCUUCCUCGUCCACGUACCCAGGGUUCGUGUUGAUCUCCGAGAAGUAGCCCGUCAGACCGUGGUGCUUCAGAAUGGUCUCGAUGAAGAAUCUAUUGGCAUCGCUCACUAUCCUCAAAUCGCAUCUGAAAAUCGGACCAGGAACGAUUCGGACGACGGCGGAGGGAAGAAAACACAAAACGAACAAAAGAUGAAUUAACAUACCCGAAAGAGUAAGCUGAUUUGAUAGCGGCGACGGUCUCGGCCGGCAGAGGAGCAUUCUUCAAUGUCUCUGCGAUUUCCUCGAUUGUUCUUCCUUGUGCAUGGAACUCCCUCAUGAUUGUGUCCUGAAAUAUAUAGAUCGGAAGAAAUCAGCAUUGCAAUCGAUA